rnacentral:rRNA from 1 species
CCAGCAGCCGCGGUAAUUCCAGCUCCAAUAGCGUAUAUUAAAGUUGUUGCAGUUAAAAAGCUCGUAGUUGGAUCUCGGGUACUAGCAUGUGGUACGCUUUUUUGCUGUUACUACAUGUCUGGUCCUAAUCAACCGGUUGGCCGUUGAUGCCCUUUAUUGGGUGUUUUCGGUAGCCGGUACGUUUACUUUGAGAAAAUUAGAGUGCUUAAAGCAGGCCUUAAGCCUGAAUAAUGUUGCAUGGAAUAAUAGAAUAGGACCUCGGUUCUAUUUUGUUGGUUUUGUAGAGCAUUGAGGUAAUGAUUAAUAGGGACAGACGGGGGCAUUCGUAUUGCGGUGUUAGAGGUGAAAUUCUUGGAUCGCCGCAAGACGAACAACUGCGAAAGCAUUUGCCAAGAAUGUUUUCAUUA